rnacentral:rRNA from 1 species
UUGAUCCUGGCUCAGAAUCAACGCUGGCGGCGUGCCUAACACAUGCAAGUCGAACGCGAAAGUUCCGCAAGGAAUGAGUAGAGUGGCAAACGGGUGAGUUACACGUGGGUGACCUGCCUUCGAGUGGGGGAUAACGUCCCGAAAGGGACUCUAAUACCGCAUAACAUCCUGUCUUUUAACAGGUGGAGAUCAAAGCCGGUGAUCGCAAGACCUGGCGCUUGAAGAGGGGCCCGCGUCCGAUUAGCUAGUUGGUGGGGUAACGGCUCACCAAGGCGACGAUCGGUAGCCGGCCUAAGAGGUCGGACGGCCACACUGGGACUGAGACACGGCCCAGACUCCUACGGGAGGCUGCAGUGGGGAAUUGUUCGCAAUGGGCGCAAGCCUGACGACGCAACGCCGUGUGGAGGAUGAAGACCUUCGGGUCGUAAACUCCUUUCGAUCGAGACGAAUGGCCCCUGGGUGAACAGCCCGGGGGAGUGACGGUACCGAGAGAAGAAGCUCCGGCUAACUCCGUGCCAGCAGCCGCGGUAAUAAGGU